UCGGGGUGGGACUAGGACAUGCAAGUCGUGCGUCUCUAAGCAAUGAUGGAGACGCGGCAUAUGGCUCAGUAACACGUGGCUAACUUGCCCUUAGGACAGAGAUAACCCCGGGAAACUGGGGCUAAUAACUGAUAAAUAAUAAGUCCUGGAAUGGUUUCUUGUCAAAAAGAUGUUGAAAUCAUGCUUUCAAUACCGCCUAAGGAUAGGGCCACGCCCGAUCAGGUUGUUGGUGAGGUAACGGCUCACCAAGCCUAUAACCGGUACGGGCCGUGAGAGCGGGAGCCCGGAGAUGGGCACUGAGAUAAGGGCCCAGGCCCUACGGGGCGCAGCAGUCGCGAAAACUCCGCAAUGCGCGAAAGCGUGACGGGGCUACCCCGAGUGCCGUCCGCUGAGGAUGGCUUUUCCCUGGUGUAAUGAGCCGGGGGAAUAAGGAGAGGGCAAGGCUGGUGUCAGCCGCCGCGGUAAUACCAGCUCUCCGAGUAGUAGGGACGAUUAUUGGGCUUAAAGCGUUCGUAGCUGGCUUAGUAAGUCUCCUGUCAAAUUCAGCGACCUAAUCGUUGAGCCGCGGGGGAUACUACUAGGCUAGGAGGCGGGAGAGGUCGACGGUAUUCCCGGGGUAGGGGUGAAAUCCUAUAAUCCCGGGAGGACCACCAGUGGCGAAGGCUGUCGACUAGAACGCGCUCGACAGUGAGGGACGAAAGCUGGGGGAGCGAACCGGAUUAGAUACCCGGGUAGUCCCAGCUGUAAACGAUGCGGGCUAGGUGUUGAGGUGGCCACGAGCCACUUCAGUGCCGCAGGGAAGCCAUUAAGCCCGCCGCCUGGGGAGUACGGUCGCAAGGCUGAAACUUAAAGGAAUUGGCGGGGGAGCACCACA
rnacentral:rRNA from 1 species